rnacentral:rRNA from 1 species
UGAGGAAUAUUGGUCAAUGGACGGAAGUCUGAACCAGCCAUGCCGCGUGAAGGAUGAAGGCGUUCUGCGUUGUAAACUUCUUUUAUCUGGGAAGAAACCACAGAUUUCUAUUUGUGUUGACGGUACCAGAGGAAUAAGCACCGGCUAACUCCGUGCCAGCAGCCGCGGUAAUACGGAGGGUGCGAGCGUUAUCCGGAUUUACUGGGUUUAAAGGGUGCGUAGGCGGGCUAUUAAGUCAGAGGUGAAAUCUCCGGGCUCAACCUGGAAACUGCCUUUGAUACUAUUAGCCUUGAAUUAUGUUGAGGUUGGCGGAAUAUAACAUGUAGCGGUGAAAUGCUUAGAUAUGUUAUGGAACACCGAUUGCGAAGGCAGCUGGCUAGACAUAUAUUGACGCUGAUGCACGAAAGCGUGGGUAGCGAACA